UAUAAACAAGAGGGCUACAGCAACACAGGUGCUCAGACAGCUAGGUGACAACAGAAUACUGAGAUUUCAGUCAUUUGGCUGGGCUUCCCUGGUGGCGCAGUGGUUGAGAGUCUGCCU